AUGCGUGGCAUUAGCUUGUUGGCGGGGUAACGGCCCACCAAGGCGACGAUGCCUAGGGGUUCUGAGAGGAAGGUCCCCCACACUGGUACUGAGACACGGACCAGACUCCUACGGGAGGCAGCAGUGAGGAAUAUUGGUCAAUGGGCGAGAGCCUGAACCAGCCAAGUCGCGUGAGGGACGACGGCCCUACGGGUUGUAAACCUCUUUUGCCGGGGGACAAACGGCGGCACGCGUGCCGUCCUGAGGGUACCCGGAGAAAAAGCAUCGGCUAACUCCGUGCCAGCAGCCGCGGUAAUACGGAGGAUGCGAGCGUUAUCCGGAUUUAUUGGGUUUAAAGGGUGCGUAGGCGGGAUGCCAAGUCAGCGGUCAAAUACGGGGGCUCAACCUGCGUCCGCCGUUGAAACUGGCGUUCUUGAGUGGGCGAGAAGUACGCGGAAUGCGUGGUGUAGCGGUGAAAUGCAUAGAUAUCACGCAGAACCCCGAUUGCGAAGGCAGCGUACCGGCGCCCAACUGACGCUGAAGCACGAAAGCGUGGGUAUCGAACAGGAUUAGAUACCCUGGUAGUCCACGCAGUAAACGAUGAACACUAAUUGUCCGGCGGGGUUUGCCGCUGGGUGAU
rnacentral:rRNA from 1 species